rnacentral:rRNA from 1 species
UUAAGUUAUUAAGGGCGCACGGUGGAUGCCUUGGCACUAGAAGCCGAUGAAGGACGUUACUAACGACGAUAUGCUUUGGGGAGCUGUAAGUAAGCUUUGAUCCAGAGAUUUCCGAAUGGGGAAACCCAGCAUGAGUUAUGUCAUGUUAUCGAUAUGUGAAUACAUAGCAUAUCAGAAGGCACACCCGGAGAACUGAAACAUCUUAGUACCCGGAGGAAGAGAAAGAAAAUUCGAUUCCCUUAGUAGCGGCGAGCGAAACGGGAAGAGCCCAAACCAACAAGCUUGCUUGUUGGGGUUGUAGGACACUCUAUACGGAGUUACAAAGGACGACAUUAGACGAAUCAUCUGGAAAGAUGAAUCAAAGAAGGUAAUAAUCCUGUAGUCGAAAAUGUUGUCUCUCUUGAGUGGAUCCUGAGUACGACGGAGCACGUGAAAUUCCGUCGGAAUCUGGGAGGACCAUCUCCUAAGGCUAAAUACUCUCUAGUGACCGAUAGUGAACCAGUACCGUGAGGGAAAGGUGAAAAGCACCCCGGAAGGGGAGUGAAAUAGAACCUGAAACCGUGUGCUUACAAGUAGUCAGAGCCCGUUAAUGGGUGAUGGCGUGCCUUUUGUAGAAUGAACCGGCGAGUUACGAUUUGAUGCAAGGUUAAGCAGUAAAUGUGGAGCCGUAGCGAAAGCNNNNNNNNNNNNNNNNNNNNNNNNNNNNNNNNNNNNNNNNAGUCUGAAUAGGGCGUUUAGUAUUUGGUCGUAGACCCGAAACCAGGUGAUCUACCCUUGGUCAGGUUGAAGUUCAGGUAACACUGAAUGGAGGACCGAACCGACUUACGUUGAAAAGUGAGCGGAUGAACUGAGGGUAGCGGAGAAAUUCCAAUCGAACCUGGAGAUAGCUGGUUCUCUCCGAAAUAGCUUUAGGGCUAGCCUCAAGUGAUGAUUAUUGGAGGUAGAGCACUGUUUGGACGAGGGGCCCCUCUCGGGUUACCGAAUUCAGACAAACUCCGAAUGCCAAUUAAUUUAACUUGGGAGUCAGAACAUGGGUGAUAAGGUCCGUGUUCGAAAGGGAAACAGCCCAGACCACCAGCUAAGGUCCCAAAAUAUAUGUUAAGUGGAAAAGGAUGUGGCGUUGCCCAGACAACUAGGAUGUUGGCUUAGAAGCAGCCAUCAUUUAAAGAGUGCGUAAUAGCUCACUAGUCGAGUGACACUGCGCCGAAAAUGUACCGGGGCUAAACAUAUUACCGAAGCUGUGGAUUGUCCUUUGGACAAUGGUAGGAGAGCGUUCUAAGGGCGUUGAAGCAUGAUCGUAAGGACAUGUGGAGCGCUUAGAAGUGAGAAUGCCGGUGUGAGUAGCGAAAGACGGGUGAGAAUCCCGUCCACCGAUUGACUAAGGUUUCCAGAGGAAGGCUCGUCCGCUCUGGGUUAGUCGGGUCCUAAGCUGAGGCCGACAGGCGUAGGCGAUGGAUAACAGGUUGAUAUUCCUGUACCACCUAUAAUCGUUUUAAUCGAUGGGGGGACGCAGUAGGAUAGGCGAAGCGUGCGAUUGGAUUGCACGUCUAAGCAGUAAGGCUGAGUAUUAGGCAAAUCCGGUACUCGUUAAGGCUGAGCUGUGAUGGGGAGAAGACAUUGAGUCUUCGAGUCGUUGAUUUCACACUGCCGAGAAAAGCCUCUAGAUAGAAAAUAGGUGCCCGUACCGCAAACCGACACAGGUAGUCAAGAUGAGAAUUCUAAGGUGAGCGAGCGAACUCUCGUUAAGGAACUCGGCAAAAUGACCCCGUAACUUCGGGAGAAGGGGUGCUCUUUAGGGUUAACGCCCAGAAGAGCCGCAGUGAAUAGGCCCAAGCGACUGUUUAUCAAAAACACAGGUCUCUGCUAAACCGUAAGGUGAUGUAUAGGGGCUGACGCCUGCCCGGUGCUGGAAGGUUAAGAGGAGUGGUUAGCUUCUGCGAAGCUACGAAUCGAAGCCCCAGUAAACGGCGGCCGUAACUAUAACGGUCCUAAGGUAGCGAAAUUCCUUGUCGGGUAAGUUCCGACCCGCACGAAAGGCGUAACGAUUUGGGCACUGUCUCAACGAGAGACUCGGUGAAAUCAUAGUACCUGUGAAGAUGCAGGUUACCCGCGACAGGACGGAAAGACCCCGUGGAGCUUUACUGUAGCCUGAUAUUGAAAUUCGGCACAGCUUGUACAGGAUAGGUAGGAGCCUUUGAAACGUGAGCGCUAGCUUACGUGGAGGCGCUGGUGGGAUACUACCCUAGCUGUGUUGGCUUUCUAACCCGCACCACUUAUCGUGGUGGGAGACAGUGUCAGGCGGGCAGUUUGACUGGGGCGGUCGCCUCCUAAAAGGUAACGGAGGCGCUCAAAGGUUCCCUCAGAAUGGUUGGAAAUCAUUCAUAGAGUGUAAAGGCAUAAGGGAGCUUGACUGCGAGACCUACAAGUCGAGCAGGGUCGAAAGACGGACUUAGUGAUCCGGUGGUUCCGCAUGGAAGGGCCAUCGCUCAACGGAUAAAAGCUACCCCGGGGAUAACAGGCUUAUCUCCCCCAAGAGUUCACAUCGACGGGGAGGUUUGGCACCUCGAUGUCGGCUCAUCGCAUCCUGGGGCUGUAGUCGGUCCCAAGGGUUGGGCUGUUCGCCCAUUAAAGCGGUACGCGAGCUGGGUUCAGAACGUCGUGAGACAGUUCGGUCCCUAUCCGUCGUGGGCGUAGGAAAUUUGAGAGGAGCUGUCCUUAGUACGAGAGGACCGGGAUGGACAUACCUCUGGUGUACCAGUUGUCGUGCCAACGGCAUAGCUGGGUAGCUAUGUGUGGACGGGAUAAGUGCUGAAAGCAUCUAAGCAUGAAGCCCCCCUCAAGAUGAGAUUUCCCAACUUCGGUUAUAAGAUCCCUCAAAGAUGAUGAGGUUAAUAGGUUCGAGGUGGAAGCAUGGUGACAUGUGGAGCUGACGAAUACUAAUCGAUCGAAGACUUAAUCAA